rnacentral:rRNA from 1 species
GCCAAAUAGCUAGCCUGAGCAUAAACAUAACCCCAACAUAUAGAUAACUAAACCACGCCUACGUAUUAAAACAUUUUACCACCCUAGUAUAGGUGAUAGAAAAGGACUCCAGAGCAAUAGAAAAAGUACCGUAAGGGAAAGCUGAAAAAGAAGUGAAACAACCCAACAAAGCAAGGAAAAGCAGAGAUUAAACCUCGUACCUUUUGCAUCAUGAUUUAGCAAGAAGCCCCAAGCAAAGAGAACUUAAGUUUGACCCCCCGAAACCAGGGGAGCUACUCCGGAGCAGCCCAAAGGGGCAAACCCGUCUCUGUGGCAAAAGAGUGGGGAGACUCCCGAGUAGAGGUGACAAGCCUACCGAACCUGGUGAUAGCUGGUUGCCCGGAAAAUGAAUGUAAGUUCAGCGUUAUAAAAUUCUGACAUUGUAAAUGAAAAAAGAAGUAAGAUAUAACAGUUAGUCAAAAGCGGUACAGCUCUUUUGAAAAAGGAUACAACCUUAUUAGGCGGAAAAGGAUUAAAAACUUAAGGUACCUCCCCCAGUGGGCCUAAAAGCAGCCACCUGUGAAGACGGCGUUAAAGCCCAAGCAGAACCUAACCAAUAAUACAAAUAAACUAAACCUGACCCCCUCCAAACACCGAGCCCCUCUACAAAACCGUAGAGAAGAUAAUGCUAAAAUCAGUAAUAAGAGGGACACGCCCCUCUCCCCGCACAAUCGUGAGUCAGCUAGGACUAACCACUGACAACUAACGGACCCAUAACGGAAGGAACAACAAUGAACAUAAAACAAACAAGAGAACCAUGCCUUAACCACCGUCAACCCAACACAGGAGUGCACACAGGAAAGACUAAAAGGGUGAGAAGGAACUCGGCAAAAUGGAACCCCGCCUGUUUACCAAAAACAUCGCCUCUUGCCAAUAAUGAAGUAUUAGAGGUCCCGCCUGCCCUGUGACAGCAAUGUUUAACGGCCGCGGUAUUUUAACCGCGCGAAGGUAGCGUAAUCACUUGUCUUUUAAAUGGAGACCUGUAUGAAUGGCAUAACGAGGGUUUAACUGUCUCCUCCCCCCAGUCAAUGAAAUUGAUCUGCCCGUGCAGAAGCGGGCAUAAUGACAUAAGACGAGAAGACCCUAUGGAGCUUUAGGCAAAUGAUCAAGCACACCAAACCCUUUUCAAUAAGUCACGGGGAAACAAACGCCAAUGAUCAACCCGCCUUCGGUUGGGGCGACCAUGGAGAAAAGAAAAGCCUCCAAGUGGAACGGGAAAACCCUUAAACUAAGAAAAACAACUCUAAGUAUCAGAAACUCUGACCAAAAAUGACCCAGGAUUAAACCUGAUCAACGAACCAAGUUACCCUAGGGAUAACAGCGCAAUCCUCUCCCAGAGUCCUUAUCGACGAGGGGGUUUACGACCUCGAUGUUGGAUCAGGACAUCCUAAUGGUGCAGCCGCUAUUAAGGGUUCGUUUGUUCAACGAUUAACAGUCCUACGUGAUCUGAGUUCAGACCGGAGUAAUCCAGGUCGGUUUCUAUCUAUGAACUAGCCUACCCCUAGUACGAAAGGACCGGAGUAGGGGGGCCUACGAAGACACAAGCCCCACCCCAACCCACUGAAACCAUAUAAAAUGGACAACGGGGAAGACAUACCUGCCGAAGAUAAUGGCAC